rnacentral:lncRNA from 1 species
AGAAAGGAACAAAAGAAAUAUUUGAAAAAAUAAUGACUGAGAAUUUCCACAAAUUAACGUCAGACACCAAACCACAGAUCCAGGAAGCACAAAGUAGGGUAAAUACAAAAAUACCACAACUAAAAAACCCAGACAAACAAAACUUCACCCAGGUGAGUCAUUUUCAAACUGUAGAGAAUCAUCAAUAAGAAGUCCUGAAAGAAGCCCAAGGAAAAAGCACUUCACCCAGUGAGGAACAAGGAUAAGAAUUACAUCCACCUUCUCAGAAACCAUGCAAAUGAGGAGAGAGUGGAAUGAAAUAUUUAAAGCGUUGAAAGAAAAAGUCACCAGCAGUGCAGGAUUUGUGAAGGUUGGAGCCAGACUGCCUGGGUUCAAAAUCCUGACUCCUCUACUUGGCGGUUACAUGUCAUCAGGGAGGUCUCAGCUUCUGUGCCUCCGUGUCUCUAACUGCAGAAUAUGGCUAAUUCACUGCAGCAACAGUGAAUACAUUAAUUGCCUCAGGGCCAAGAAUCGGAUGAGGUGACUGAGGCAGAAUUGUAUGAGUAGAGAGUUGGAUUCUAUUCUAAUAACUACCAUAAUUUUAAGGCAGUGAGCACUUAAAAACUGUUUCAAGGCAUCUGCAACAGCUAUAAUGGGAUGCAAAAUAAUCCAUGGUGUUUUUCAGUGGCAAUGUCACAAAUACUGUUAAUACUACUAAGAUUUGUUGCCUAUAUUCAUAACUGAAGGAAGUGCUGCAUUUCAGCUAGAGGUCAGUGAAAAUAAAGCUAAAGAGUUUUGCCCCAUCCAAAUUCGCAGAGCUAGGUUACAAAUCCCUACAUUAGGGGAGAUAGAAAUCUAUUUCAUCAGUCACAACUAGCACUUAAAUAUUUUUUAAAAUAUUUGUUUAUUUAUUUUGUUUUUUAGGGCUCUACCUGAGGCAUAUGGAAUUUCCCGGGCUAGGGGUUAAAUCAGAGCUUCAGCUGCUGGUCUACACCACAGCCACAGCAACACAGGAUCGAAGAGGAAACAGCAUGAUGGAAAGCAGGUCCAGCAGCCACUGCCACAUUGCAGGUGCAAACAUCCUUGUCCCUCCCUCCAGGGCCCCAUUGGCCUUGGUCUGGCCCCCAUCUGCCCUUCUGCCCUCACACAAGUACACACACAAGACCCAAGUUCAACAGACACUGUGUUGUCAGCAGUUGCACAGCUGCUUCCCCCGUCCUCAGGGAGAAGAGCAGGUGUGGCAAUGCCCAUGUCCUGAGCUCAUCGCCUGUCUGGGGACAUGCCCCUCCUGAUGGCCACAUGUCCCCACAGCAAAUAUUAGCAAAGCUGUUUGUAAAGAGCCAGCUGGCGGCAUGUCUGGAGGUCCUGGGCUGCAAAGGUUUGAGGCUAAUUAAAUGGCCUCUGAUGAGCCAUUAUAGGGAGCUAAGCCUGGGCAUUUUUGUGCUUUUCUGGAUAUGUGGGUGUGUUCUUAUCAUCAGUCCUGGAUGUUAAAGGAGAGAGUCUGGGAGAGGAUGUUGAAAUCAGAAAAACAAAACCUCUAAGGGACUCUACUCUCUGGUUUCCCAAGGGAGCAGGGGUUUGACCCUGUGCCGAUGGGAAAGGAGGGAACAACUGAUCGGGUAUCAGAUAUGCUGGGAAUUAACCCUGUACUAAUAAGCAGGAAAUUGCCAAAGGAGAAGAUGGGCUUUGGGGUCUGGGAGGGAUUUAAAGCUGCAGCUCAGUCUAGUGGUUCAGAAGGGAAACAUCGGGGUCCGAAGCAUCUGAGUUCAAAUGCUGCCUAGGGAGAUUUAUCAUCCAGGCCAAGCUCCUCAUGCCAGAAAUCUCAGAGAACAUAAACUCAUACUAGGUUAACACUUCCUGACCAUUUGUGUGGGCCAGGCACUUUUGUGAGCACUUCACAUGCUCUUGCUAAUUAAUUCUUGGCCACAACUCUAUAAAAGUCAACUUAUGAAAUUAUCGUCAUGGGUAUUAUAAAACGAGCAUCAACAACAAUUCUGCGAAAUUAGCAUCAUCCUUAUUUUACAGAUGAGGAACUGUAUGAGUCACUUGUUGCUGCAUAACAAAUUGCCCCAACACUUAGCAGCUUAGAACAGCAUUUAUUAUCUCACCCAGUUUCUGCGGCUUAGGGAUUUGGGAGUCAUUUAGCUGCCUGGUUCUAGAACAGACUCUCCCAUGAGGCUGCAGUCAAAAUAUUGGCCAGGGCCAUAGUCCUCCGAAGGCCAAACUGGGGCUGGGGGACCCUCUUCCUAGAUGGCUCCCCCAUGCAGCUGGCAGGUAGGUGUGUGGGGCUAUUGGCAGGAGGCAUUGGUUUUUUUCCCCACAUGAAUCUCUCCACAGCAUUUUUUGAGUGUCCUCACGACAUGGCUGAGGGCUUCCCCCAAAGUGAGUGAUCCCGGAGAAAGACAGAAGCUGCAGGUUCUUUUUUGCUCCAAUUUUUUUUUUAAUUGUGGAAAAAACACACUAGUAAACAAGAAGAUACAUGUACUGCUCAGCGCUAUGCAGAAAAUGAACAGGUGGUGAUAUAGGCUGACUGGGGAGUAUCACUCCAGACAGGCAGUCAGGGAAGACCCCCCCAGAGGUGGUGACUGUGAGAUAAGAUCUGGCCGACAGGCAGAGCAAGUCACCAGAAGAGCUGGGAGAGCUCUUCUGGCAGAAGGCAUAGCAAGUGCAAAGGCACUGAGGUAGGAACACGCUUAGGAGGCCAGCGUGGCUGCAGAGGGAUGAGUGAGGGGAAGGGUAGGAGAUAGGAGGUGGCAGGCAUCAGCAGGGACCCAACUUAUAGGACUUGGUCAAGCAGGAUUACUCAGAGAGCAGUGGGCAGCCACAGAGGGGUUUAAGUCAGGGAACAGCACAGUCCUUGCAUCCAGGAGCCUCUCCCAAACCGGGAAUCAUCUCAGCUAAACCCAGAGGCAUUCGCUCCUCCAAGCCGGUGUCCGAGAGCUCAGCCUGGAGCAGCUCCGCUGGGAAUUGCUACCAUCCAUCCUUGUCUCUGCCCGCCUGAGACCCAGACCAGCGGCCCCAUUAAUAUAAAUGAGGCCUUUGCUGACUCGAUUUCCAAAUGAGUCCAGCCGUUCAAGAUCUCUAUUCCAGGAAAUGUGAAAUUUAUAUAAUGAAAAUUAAAAGAGAAACCGGGGAAGCAGCUCCUUAAGUGCCUGCUUCCCGGGUAAGCGAGCCAGGUCUGCGCAUCUAUCAGGAGAUGGAUGAAGGUGCCGCCUGAGGGCUGCUGGGAAGCUGUGAUCAGUGGGGAGGCCCGGAGCACGGUGGCUGCAGGCAAGGAAGAAGCCACAGACCCCCUUCCUCUCCUCCAAAAAUCAGCCGUGAUCAUAAAACUCACGUUCACUGCUACCUGCCCAGCCCUGUCCUAAGCACUUUACUUACCUGGGUUUUUUCAUUUAAGCUUCAUGACAACCAGAUGGUGUAGGCACUACUAUGUUCCCCAUUUUACAGAUGGAGAAACUGAAGGUCAUGUUGGAAAAAGGACUUGACCAAGGUCACGCAGCAAAAUAGUGGCCACAAUGCGACUCAGGUCUUUUGUCUAUUAUCUCCAAGGACCCUCUUGUCCAGAGUCCCAACAAUGUGGAAUGGAAGAAAAGCUCAGGAGGCAGAGAGACUUGGGUUUGAAUUCGAGCUUCAACUACUGGCCUGUUGUGUGAACUUUUUAUCAUAUUUAAUGUCUACCCUGCUAAAAUUCCAGCUACACAGGCGAGGCAGAGAUUUUUGUCUGCUUUUUUCACUGUUGUGUUCCCAGCCCCUGGGACAUUGACUUGCACAGAUUGGGUGCUCAAUAAAUAUUUGUUAAGUGAAUGAAAAAGCCAGAGAGGAGUUCCCAUCGUGGUUCAGUGGUAAGGAACACAACUAGUAACCAUGAGGAUGCGGGUUCAAUCCCUGGCCUCACUCAGUGUGUUAAGGAUCCAGCGUUGCCAUGAGCUGUGGUGUAGGGUGAAGACGUGGCUCAGAUCUGGUGUUGCUGUGGCUGUGGUGUAGGCUGGCAGCUGCAGCUCUGAUUUGACUCCUACCCUAGGAAGUUCCAUAUGCCAUGAGUGCAGCCCUAAAAAGACAAAAAAAAAAGUCAGGGAAGUGGGGACCCCUGAGAAUCACUGAGACCAAAUUUCCCACUACUCAGAAAGAAGGCAACCGAAAGGUCAGAUGUAAGUUGAUUUCUAGAACCUAGUAAACAAGCAAGGUACAUCCUAAGCGAGGUAAGAAUAUUAUCUCCCUUAACCAUCACAGCAGCCCUAAAAGGGACUGUGUCUCUCCCCAGUUUACCUUGGAGGGGACCAAGGCACUGACUUAAAUCACUUGCAUAAGAUGUCACAAUGCAGAAGUGGCAGAGCAGGGAUUCAAACCCAGCAUCCUGGCUCCACAUAGCCCAGACUCUCCUCCUCCACACACACACACACACACACACACUUAUGUGAUAUCACCAGGUCCUUCUGUUUUUUGGCAACUCUCAGAACAGAAAUCUCCUCCCAGACUGGUGUUUGGGGUCCCCACCCCUCUGUCACUUCCUGUCCCCAUUGUCCUCAUUGCAUCCUAGCCAAAUGCAAAUCUGCAUCCCUGGUGACAGCUGGAAGCUGUAGGCUGUCCAGUUGUCAUGGUGAUGGUCUCCAGCUCCUAUAAACAGUCCCGCCUCCUGGCUGCCUGGCUGGCUCACUCUUACCACAUUCAGAAGCCGUUCCCUGAGCCUCACUCCACACUUGACCCCUUCUGGGUGGCUGAAGGGGCCUAGAGGUCCACAGGUCUCCCCUGUUCCCAUCUGGGGACCACAGGAAGCUUGGAAGCAGGGCACCUGGUCCCCGCCUUCCUUCCUGCCCCUUCCUGGCUUUGUGACCUUGAGCUGUUGCUUCCCCUCCUGUCCCUGCUUUACAGUGUAGCCAUGAAGAGUUAAAGAGCUCAGUCAUUCAUUCAUUCAAUAAAUAAUUAUUGUGCACCUACCAUGUGCGAGGCAGUGAUGUAGGUGCUGGGGAUACAGCAAUGACCAAAAUAGACCAGGGCCUCUGGGAGACAGACAACAAAGAGUUCUGGGAAGAAAAUGAUCUAGAUGAAUGUGGAUCCCACUAGAGGGAUCAGGGCAGGGACUACUUAAGGCCUCUCUGAGAGGUGACACUUGACCUAGACCAGAAUAAGCAGAUAGCCAUGCAAAGAUACAGGGAAAGAAUAUUCCAGGAAGAAAGUGCAGCAUGUACAAAGGUCCUGAGGCAGGGGUGACCUGGCCUAUUUAGGAACAGAAGACCCUUCUCUAAGAGUGAUGUUUUUAACUCCAGCGGGGCAGCUCCAAGGUGUGACACUGCAGGUAGAGGGACAGAACAUGAACUUGGCCAAGGGAUGCUGCUUAAGAUGGCAAGAGGAAGGUGACCUCAGAGCCGGCUGCUGCAGGUCCAGUUUCCAGCUUCUAGAGGGUAGCCCUCAGACUUGGAGUAAAAGAACCAGCUAAGAGUAAAAGAAAAAGCGUUUCUGUCGUGGCACAGUGGAAACGAAUCUGACUAGGAACCACGAGGUUUUGGGUUCGAUCCCUGGCCUCGCUCAGUGGGUUAAGGAUCCAGCGUUGCCUUGAGCUGUGGUGUAGGCCGCAGACAUGGCCCAGAUCUGCUGUGGCUAUGGCUGUGGUGGAGGCCGGCAGCUGUAGCUCUGAUUCAACCCCUAGCCUGGGAAACUCCAUAUGCCAUGGGUGCAGCCCUAAAAAGACAAAAGAAAAAAAAAAAAAGAGUAAAUAUCAAGCAGGCCAAUAAAACAUAAUAUCAUUCUAACUGCCCAUCACUCUAGCUGGUCAUUCUUAUGACCAGCUUCAUAAUUUGCAGGGGACCUUGUUCAAAAACGAUUGAAAGGAAUUCCUGCUGUGGCUCAAUGGUAACGAACCCGACUAGUAUCCAUGAGGACUUGGGUUCAGUCCCUGGCCUCGCUUAGUGGGUUAAGUAUCCAGCAUUGCCAUGAGCUGCAGUGUAGACUGCAGAUAAGGCCCAGAUCCUGCAUUGCUGUGGCUGUGGUGUAAGCUGGCAGCUGCAGCUCCGAUUUGACCCUUCCCUGGGAAUCUUCCAUAUGUGG